CCAAUAGCGUAUAUUAAAGUUGCUGCAGUUAAAAAGCUCGUAGUUGAAUUUCGGGAUCAAUAUGUUGGUCGUGCCUUAGUACGUACUAGCUUAUUGAUUUCUCCCUUCUGACGAACCAUUAUGUCAUUAAUUUGGUGUCAUGGGGAAUUAGGACUGUUACUUUGAAAAAAUUAGAGUGCUUAAAGCAGGCCCACGCUUGAAUACAUUAGCAUGGAAUAAUGAAAUAGGACAUUUGAUUCUAUUUUGUUGGUUUCUAGGAUCGAUGUAAUGAUUAAUAGGGAUAGUUGGGGGCAUUAGUAUUCAAUUGUCAGAGGUGAAAUUCUUGGAUUUAUUGAAGACUAACUACUGCGAAAGCAUUUGCCAAGGAUGUUUUCAUUAAUCAAGAACGAAAGUUAGGGGAUCGAAGACGAUCAGAUACCGUCGUAGUCUUAACCAUAAACUAUGCCGACUAGGGAUCGGAUGAUGUUAAUUUUUUAAUGACUCAUUCGGCGCCUUACG
rnacentral:rRNA from 1 species